GGAAUAUUGCACAAUGGGGGAAACCCUGAUGCAGCCAUGCCGCGUGUGUGAAGAAGGCCUUCGGGUUGUAAAGCACUUUCAGUAGGGAGGAAAGGGUGUAGCUUAAUACGCUAUAUCUGUGACGUUACCUACAGAAGAAGGACCGGCUAACUCCGUGCCAGCAGCCGCGGUAAUACGGAGGGUCCGAGCGUUAAUCGGAAUUACUGGGCGUAAAGCGUGCGCAGGCGGUUUGUUAAGCGAGAUGUGAAAGCCCUGGGCUCAACCUAGGAAUAGCAUUUCGAACUGGCGAACUAGAGUCUUGUAGAGGGGGGUAGAAUUCCAGGUGUAGCGGUGAAAUGCGUAGAGAUCUGGAGGAAUACCGGUGGCGAAGGCGGCCCCCUGGACAAAGACUGACGCUCAUGCACGAAAGCGUGGGGAGCAAACAGGAUUAGAUACCCUGG
rnacentral:rRNA from 1 species